rnacentral:rRNA from 1 species
UACGUAGGGUGCAAGCGUUUAAUCGGAAUUACUGGGCGUGAAAGCGUGCGGCAGGCGGUUUUGUAAGUUCAGAAUGUGAAAUCCCCCGGGCUUAACCUGGGAAACUGCGUUUGAAACUACAAGGCUAGAGUGUGGCAGAGGGGGGUGGAAUUCCGACGUGUAGCAGUGAAAUGCGUAGAGAUGAUGGAGGAACACGAUGGCGAAGGCAGCCCCUGGGUACACUGACGCUCAGGCACGAAAGCGUAGGG